AACGCAGAAGCCGAAAAGCGAAAAUAGAGUAGGCA
rnacentral:ncRNA from 1 species